UAAAGAAAGUACAAAAACCUUUGGAGGCACAAAUUUGAUCCAACACAGCGCAGUUUGUUCUGUAGCGAUUAAAUUCCCCGUUUUUUAGUACCGAAAAGAAUGUCCCGGUUUUAUCGGGGCAGUCUCCACUUCUUUUCUAGCCAUCAUCUCAUUUGGUCCAAUCUCUUCAGGUUCAUCAUCAUUUUUGGAUCGUACAAAUGUAAAAAUCCGUCAUCAAGAUAGCUUAAGUCAGCAGAGCUCAUUUAGACGGUUGGUUAUCAACUGUUCGGCUUCUUCUCAGACCUCAUGAACUGCAUCGGCAUAAUCACACGGUGUCUAUGGAUCCCUUUGGAAUGCAAUUGGUUGACAAGCCAUCUUAUAUAUGGCGAAGGGUUUUGCUUAAAAUUACGAUGGCUAUUGCAAGGGAGGUUGCAUCAGUGAUGCACUUGGGCAUUGAGGCUAGUCUGAAGCCCCUUCUUCCAUUUAUAUACUUUGUCCCUUUUUCUUUCUCCUCUAGUCGUUUUAAAAGUUGGUUGACUUUUUUCAGUUUUAGCAAGUGUAUUGUUGCAAUAUAAUGUUUAAUUGUUAUCAAUUUUGUAUUGAAAGCAUGGGAUGAUUAAACCUUUAGAUUGAAGAUCAUGCAUUGCUAUUGGAGAUUGCUAACAAAGAUAUCUGCUUUAUUUGGGUGGAUUUCAAAAAGAAGUUUGAGCAGGAUAAGGUAUUAAAAAUACUGGGAGGAAGUUGCUUAGCAAGAAAGAGUUGCUGGUUGUCAUAUGGGCUUACUGACUGAAGGAGACUAAAUCCUUUUAGGUACUUGUUGUAGGUUGCAAUUGUGUCGGGGGGAUCAUAUUUUUCAUGGAUCUUCUUGGGCCUUGGAAUGUUUGCAACUGUAAUGAAUGCUGUAUUUCUUCUAGCAACAAUGGAGAGUAUUGGCAUCCCAACAUUUGUCCAGAUUGCUUUUUGUAUGUUGGAGGUUGCAGAGCCAUAUAUACUUGGAAGGGCUGUGAUGCAUUUGGAGAAAGGAAGGGUUGUCACUUUUCCAGUGGGAACGGGUAACCUGUUCUUCACCACAGUUACUGCCGCAGCUCUUGGUUGUGCAGAAAGUAGUAUUUUUCUCUCCAGUCAGAAUUAGGAGUGUAAUCGAUUCAACCCCUCUCAAGCAGUUUGUGAACCACAGGGUCCAAACCAAGUGAACUAGGGCGAGGUAUGCACAACCAGCCCACAUCAGGCUCAUGUCCGUGUUAGGCCGCACCAGAACGGAGGAGAAGGGUCCAGCCAGCUCCGGAAACGCCUGGAGUGCGCGAGAAGCACCUGGAGCACGUGGGAGAAGUGCCGAAUGGUGCCAAAAACAUACCCACACCACGUCCAACAAGAAGUUGUGGGCCUUUCAAUUCUUUCCCUGAAGAUUUGAACCCUGGGAGUUUUGGUUUCAACAUUGAAGCCUGUACCAAUCUUUACUAUUAUUUAACAUUGUCAUUUACUCAAUAGCAGACAUUUCUGGUCCCUCCCCUUUUGAUUAACAAAUCGCAUUCACAUCUAUAUUUAGUCAAAGAAAAGUGUAUAUGUGUGUUAACAACUGGCUAUCUCAUGCUUCUCUGCAAAUGGCAUUCACAUCUAUA